GGUCUGAUAGCGCAACUGGUUAAUGAAUCUACUCGUAUUUACGAAUUUUGGUUUUAUUCAGUGGAGGAUCCCGGUUCGAACCCGGGUUAGACCA